rnacentral:misc_RNA from 1 species
UUGAAAUAAAAACUUGGUUGGGUUGCUGCUGGCUCUAAGGAGCAUGUGCACACUCAUUCCAUUUUUCAACCACCUGUGCACACACUGUAGAUCUGAAUGAACGUUUUCGAUUAACUCGGUUUGAGAACUGCCCUUGGGCUGUUCUUGUGUUCUCAGGUCUAUGUUUUAAAUCAUAUACUCUAUAACAAGUAAUGGAAUGUCAAUUAUGGGCCUUCUGUGCCUUUAAAACCUAAUA